GGAGUUGUAGAGAACAAUAAAGUCUCCCCUGAUUCUCUAGACUGAAUAAUCCCAGCUCCUUCAUCUGCUCCCAAUAAGAAUUGUGCUUCAGAUCCUCCACCAGUUUCAUUUUCCUUCGCUGGCUGUGCCCCAGGGCCUUGAUGUCUUUCUUAUAGUGAGGGGCCCAAAACUGAACACAGUCCUCGAGUACUUCUUUGCCACCUGCACACACUGCUUGCUGAUGUUCACUGGCUGUUAGCUAACAUCCUCAGAUCCUUUUACUCUGUGGUACUCAAGCAGCAAGAGAAAAGCUGAGUGGGAUCUGUCGCUAGUCCUCAACGAAGGAGAUGUCUAGUCCAUGGCUUUUCAUCUGGUAUAAAGUGCAUUAUCUCUCUUAUUUGUAUAAAGGGAGAAUGUCUGCCAGUAUCCUCUGUUCAUUUUUUUCAAAGUCUCUGCCUGAGUUCUGGACAAAAGGAAUGUGUUUGAGGCCCAGCCCUGGUCCUUGUAGACUGAGAGCACACAUGGCUUUCCGACCCACAGCACUGAAAAACUGAGAGGCUCUUUCAGUUCAGUGGAUAGGAGGAAAGACACAAAGCCCUUCUAAGAAUUUUACGGAAGUUUCUCAACAUUUUAAAACUCACAUGGGGAUUUUGCGGUCUCAUUACAAUUGAGUUUUCCGGUAGCAUUUAGCAAAUUAUGUCACCUUUCACAUCUCAAGAAGACAAUGGUCAAAAAGAGGAGCUGGCAAAGAGUUCAGGAAGGCUGAGGUCAUGCGAUGACUGAUGUCUGCAUCUGAUCCUCAGAGAAGCAAAGCACAGCAGAGGAGUGGUGGGCAGAUGUCCUAGCCAAAGGCUUGUAUGAAACAUUCACAUUAGAAAGAUCCCUUCCAUGUGUUUUGGAGAGUCAAUGGGAGCUCAGAAGAUCUGAACAGGCAGAUGUGAGGCCAUGGAGUGGAGUGACAGCUGACAUGGCAAAGCCAGCCUGCUGCUAGAGGUUUUGUCCCUCCCAUGGCUGGAGCUGUCUCACCUCAUAGCCUUCAUGCCAGUACAGGGCAUGGCCUUCCUUGUGGCACACAGGAUUCAACUCAAAAUGCUUAUGAUCUUUGUGAGGAUGCAAACAUGCCUGUGAAUCAAUUAACAUACCACAGGCAUAGUGUCAUAGGAUUGAGGCCAUGUAAUGUGUGAAGCAGGAGGACAAUAAACUGAGAGACUGCGUAUGUAUUUUUGUACUAACAGCAACAUUAUCUUCGAUAAGAAUGUCCCCUUCUUUGUCCUAUGGUGAGUGUAUGGCAUGCUCCUGAAGCAUAAAUGAGAGUAAAUCAUUAAAGCAUAAAUCAUUCUCAGUGCCUCACCGUGACCUGUGGCUGCACCCAUGUGAAUGUUUCGUGAUUAUUUUUCAAGGUUGUGGUGAAAAGUACAAACUCGUUUGUUUUCCAAAGAAAGUAAACUGUAAGAUCUGCUCUAGGUAGGUACCUAUCUAACCCCCUCCAGGUCUUGCUAGAAAUCGUGAGGCUUUGAAUCAGUAGCUGGUCCGUAGGACCACUUUGAACCAAAGCCAUGAUGGGGAACAUUGAGUCCAACCAACUUGACUGAACUUAGGCUGAAGUAGAAACUCCAAGGUGGAGAGGGAUUUUUUUUAGGGGAAAGAAACCUUUCGUGCUUUCCCUAAAUCAGAAAAGAAGUGGCAGAGGAGCCUCCAAACUGCUUGUAAAUGCACAAUUUUAACUUGCCAUCUGGAGUUUUCAGUGAUGAAUUUUCCCUAUGAGAAAAAACGAGAAAGAGCAAGGAAACCUAACCAGGCUUGAACAAUAAAGUAGCAGGAGCAGCUGGUAGAGUCUUGUGAUCAGAAGAUACAGACUGCCUUAUAGGAACAAAAAGAAAAUAAUCCUGAUGUCUAUCACCUAUUGAGGAGAAGGAUCAAAACAAAACAACCCAGGAUAUGAACUGUCUUCAUACAUAUGAUUUACUGAUGUAGUGGUGAUGGAGGUAUGUGGGCACAUAUACUACAAUGCCACUGGCAAAGCAGUGGAGGCCGCUAAGGAAGAAGAGCUCUAGCACAACGUCUUUUGGGAAAAGGUCCCUUUCUUUGGGAGCUGAAUUGCAAUGUAGAUGGAUGAAGCCAGCUACUGUCUUAUUGACCUUUGAUAAAGGAAACGUCUUGUUCAAGUCCAACCACUUUGUUUGUUUGCAUGUUUUGCAGCUGCACAGCUUGGACAAUACUACCAGUUUAAAGCUAGAGGCAAGGUGAUCUUUCCUGUUUGCAUCAGCUGAUUUGUUUCUCACUGAGAAGAGAGACUGAGGAAUGACAGGCUGAUUCUAACUUAGAACAUAUGCCAGGACUGAUUUUGAGAACCUGAUUCACAGCUGAUUUCCAGAGUCAGGCAAAACAGACCUCAAGCACCAAUAUCGAUUCCUACUGAACCCAUUGCUGUGGGCUGCUGCUAAUAACCAGUUCUCGGCCCUUACUGAGAGAGAAGGAUUCUGGCAUUUCUCGAUCUGCUGCACUUUGGGACACUUAAAGACUAAGACCACUGGGAAGGAUGAGGAGGACUCUUAACAACGUUUCUCACAACAAAGGACUAAAUGAAGUGGAGUUAUUUCAUCUCAAAAGUGAGAAGAGUGAGGGGGAGGCUCUGGUACAUAAUCGCUUACAUGUCUGCAGUGAAUGUAGCAAGGUAAAGCAAGGAAGGUUCAAGUUUGAUAUUUGGAAAAACUCUCUUGACAAGUAUGUGGACGUCCUGGGUAAGUUGUUUUUAUCACGUAAAUUCCUUGCUACUGUAUAGAUAAGCAGGGUCAGAAACAGCCUUGAGUUGUCUGUUGGGAGACAAUUUAAGUUUCUCUUUUCCUAUAUCUGAAUAAUAGUUAAGGGUUUUUCUUCUUUUCUUUUUCUUCCCCCCCGCCCUCCCCCUCCAAAAAAACCUUGUAGUGAAAUAUUAAACUGUAUUAAAUACACUUUGUGUAUUUUAUGUAGUUUACUGUUGGGGCUCAGUAGGUCAGACUAGUUGGACUUGAUGAUCUUGAAGGUCUUUUCCAACCUAGAUUAUUCUAUGAAUGCAUAAUGCGAUGGAAUUGCCCGAAAACAGUACAUCUAUUUAAACAAACAGUCCCACUGUGAUUUGUUAACUGGGCAAUGUUGUUUUAUGUGAAAUUCUAAAUUUUAGAAGAAUUUUGUAUUUUAUCUAAAGACACAAAAUUACAAAUUUUUAACAUCUUCAAAAAGGUUUGGAGCAGACAACUCCAAGAAAUAUGUCUCUGUGCAGGGAUAGCUUUUCAGGACAUGACAGUCCUGAGAUAGCUUGUGAGAUCAGUCUCUUUGCCCCCACCAACCUGUCUGAACUUACAGAGAACACUCAGCAUACAAGUCUGAACAUUUAUAGUCCCUUGUGCUUUUCUAAUUGUUUCAAUUCAGACAUGUGCUUUUAUUUUUUAAGGCAAAAGAGCACACAUACAUUGAAUUAAUAAGGAUGUAAUAAUAAAGCUGAAUCACACUGCUCCAAUACACAUGGGCUACGAGUGUGCAAGGUUAGGAGUCCUGGGGUGCUUGGAGAGAACUGAUUUACAAAACUGCAGGGGCCUCGCUGUAGGCUGAUAAGUCAGGGUGCCAGGUCAGUGGUGAGAUAUCUUCUUUAAGUGUUAGCCAAAAUUUGUUGGCAGGCAGCAGAGAAGUGGAUAGAGGAUUCGAAGGUCAGAUGUUGUUCCAAGUUUGUCACAAGAAUGCAUUAGGGAACAACAAUAUGGGGGUGGACAGAGCUGAGACACCAGAUUUAAGCAGGAGCCUGGUGCCUGAUACCACUGUCUUUGCAGACAGGAGUGUGGAUAAAAGGACAUGAAACUAUGAUGCUGUUUUUCUUCAGGCUUCUGAAAUAAUGAAAUAACUGUAGGGCUGCCCAUAAAAUAUCAGUGCUAAUGCAGCUGUGUUCAGUACAGAAAACAUGAUGGCAUACUUCUGUACUUUUGAGGUGUGUCUGCUGAAUGUCACAUACAUUCCUGUCGGAAUCUACUUAAAAGCAGGACAGAUAUUAACAGCCUGAAAAGAAGGACAUAAAUACUGUAAAAGCUCUGCAUAAUCAGGCCAGAGGACCAUCUCAUCUCGUAGAUUUUCUCUCCAGCAGCAAGAAUAAAUAUAGCUGCUGUUUAGUGAGACCAUGCAAACAUGGUCACCUCCUCUGGUCUGCUCCCUUGUAUUACCCACUGUAGGAUGGCUUGCAGAUGUUAAAGGGUGCACUCCGUUCUGUUUUCUUUCUGUUUAUGGACCUACUAUCCACAACUUCGUGUGAUCCUUUCUGAAUCUGCCUAUGCUGUGUAUCUCCACAAUCUCCCAUGGUAGAAAGUUCCACAACAUUUAUAUGAGUUGCAGUGAGAUUUUUCAUGAGAGGGACCCCUGAGCAUGGCUUUCUGAUUUUCUUUCUAGAAAGUUUUUGUUCCUGAACCUCAGUCACUUCAAAAUAACAUCUUUGUAAUGUGGAGCCAAGGGUGAUAUUUUCCCUCUGCCUCUUAUUUGCACUUUAUAUAGACUUUCUGCUGGCUACUGAUGGCUCUGCAUGGAGACAAAAGCAUCAUCUCGGCCUUUCAUCUACUUUCUUCCAUCUGAUGUAUCUUAAAAUGGUGUCCAUGUUUCACCAUGUAGUAACAAAAUCAGUCAAGAUGUUAAUGAAACCGAUGCUCUCCCAUCUCUUUGGCAGGAGAAGCUGCUGCUGGAGCUCCCCGUGGCUCUCCCACAUCCUCCUUGCAGAAGGUUCUGAGCACAUUCUGCUGAUAAAAGUGUUGCAACCAGAGGGAAAAAGCUGAAGUUCGCAGUUUCUGCCUUAGGUUGAGACUCUGGCUCAUGAUUCUCCAGCAAAAGGCUGUAGCAGUUUAAGAUCCCACUGUUGUUCACCUGUUUGUGGCAUCUAUCCAUCACCCUUGAAGCUGAGAUGAAGCUGAAGAGGAUUGUGAUUAGAUGUUCAUCGUUCCAAUAUGCUGACACAAACCUGCAUUUAUUAAGAUUAUUAACGGUUUAAGUGAAUACCUGGCACCUUGACUAGCUGUGGCUGAGGGGCAGCACUCAGAUGUUAAGCCCUAUUAAAAACAGAGCAGUGUCUUCUUACACAGGAGAACUGGGAUGGUGAAAAUCCAGUACUUUCAGAGCAAGAUCUACUAGAAGAAAUCCAUUCAAGGCUUUUAAACUGUUCAUGGCCGUUUUUAAUAUGUAAUUGGCAGUUAGAAGACAUCAGUUUUGAUAAUGAAAUGUUUAAACUUAUGCUAUUAAUUUGGAUAUUCCUUUAAGAAAUACAAUACCAGAUUUUGACAUAGAAAGAAAAGACAACAGAGUGGAAAAAACAUCUAAAGAGGAAAUAACCACGGCUUUAGCAAUAGACAACAAUUCUAUAAAGAAUCCAAGGUUUUAUGUCAGACACUUCUGUACCGAUUGCUACCGCUCUUUGCUUGGACUGUUUGAUCUCAUUCCCAGGGAAAAGGGAUGAGUUAGGAACCUGAUUCCAGCAGUCUGCCCGCUGAUAUGAAGACCUGCUCUUCAUUUCAUUCCAUCAUAUACUGAAGAAAGACCUACCUUUGUCUGCCACACUCUUUGCACUCUGUUCAGGUAUCUCUUUCAGCCUGGCUUUGUGGUAAUAAAUGAACAGACUGCUCCUGGGGCAGCAGUGAGAGGCACAUUGUGCAGCAAAAGGCAGCAUCUCACAAAACAGAAGUAUCAAUGAAAAUCAAAUUGAAAAAGGAACAUUUCGACUGUCGGCUCACUUCCUGAUAAGGUCCCUGUAAUAGUUCUCUUAACAGACAAGAACAUGUGCAAGUGAUUUAACAUCUGUGAGCAAAAAUAUUCAGAAUAAUAGAUUUGAAUGAUAGAAAAGAAGCAAUGACACUACAUUUCCUAGAAGCAAUUGACUGAUUUUAAUUAAGCCAGAAAUUAGCCUGCUAGCUGAUGGCUCAUAAAACGUCUGGAAAUACCAGCUGCAAGCUAAUUGUGCACAUGUAAAUGUGGACACUGUCCUCAUGGUGAAUUUUCAAAUUAAUCAUGGACACAUGGGAUAAGGCAGGCUGCUUGUGGGGGAUGAAAGCAGGGAGGGGCAGGGGGCCUUCUGCUGAACCUGGUUGUUCUGCGUGCUGCAGCUGCGCUGCUGGGACAUUUGCCACAGACAGAAAAACUGCUCCGCACUGACUUGAAAAACCUCCUAGCAGAACCCAGAGAUUAGGCUGUCCUGCUGUGCAAGAGGAAGCAUGCAUGCUUUUCAUGGGCUUGAGUAGUUCCAUCACAUCAGGACAGUUGCCAUCACUAUGCUCUGUGAACGCCUGGUGUUUGUGCGUUAGCUUUGUUUCAACAGGUUGAUGCUGAUGGUUGCCCAUACAUGCACUUUUCCUGCAUUGUUGUACAAGUAGUCCAGGUCACAGUCCUGAAAGAACUUCUUGGUAAUGCUUCUUCAUGCAGCCACUUUCCAAGAAUAUCACACUGUUGAUAACAAACGAAGUUCUGGUUCUUGCCAGAAGAGUGUAGGAUGUGGUGACAGAGUGACAGCAGCACUGCUGCCAAUACAGAUGCCAUUCAUUGCCUUUGCCUUCAAGAGAAGGUGUGUAGCUUGCUUUCAAUGGGCACAGGCUGACUUGACAGCCCAGCAACUGAGUGAGAUACCUGCCAGGGCUAAGGGGAGACCUAAAAGCAUCAAAGAGCCAAGAGUGACACAAGUUACGCGAGCCAGCAGUGUGCAGUUGCAGCCUAGAAGACCAACAGUACCCUGGGUUGCAUCAGAAGAGCGGUGGUCAGCAGGGAGAGGGAGGGGAUUGUCCUCCUCUGCUCUGCCCUCGUGGGGACCAAACUGCAGCACUGCAUCCUGGCCUGGGGCCCACAGCAGAAAAACAGGGAGCUGUUGGAGUGGGUCCAGAAGAGAGCCAUGAAAAUAGUCAGGUCUGAAGCUCCUCUCCUAUGAAGACAGACUGAGGGAGCUGGACUUGUUCAACCUGGAGAAUGCUCUCACUGUGGUCGUCCAGGAGUUAAAUGAGGAGUGAGACAAACUCUUUACACAGUUUGAUAUUGAUAGGACAAAGGGAGAAUUAGUUUAGUUUUAAACUAAAAGAGAGGGAAUUUAGCUUAGAUACUAGGAAAUUCUUCACUCGGAGGGUAGUAAGGUUCUACACAGAGAAGUUGUGGGUACCCCAUCCCUUGAGGUGCUCUAGGCCAGGUUGGAUGGGGCCCUGGGCAGCCUGAUCCAGUGGGUGGCAGCCCUGCCCAUGGCAUGGGGUUGGAACUACAUGGGCUUUAAGGCCGCUUCGAACUCAAGUCAUUCUGUGAUCCUAUGAAAGAUAUUUUUUCACCUGGUAAGCCCCAGGCAGAGCUAUCAGUGAAUUCUUUAUUGAAAAUCAGGGAUCAUCAAAUCUGAGUAUGAAGGAAGUCUAGGCUUUGUGCACAGAAAUGCAUUGCUAAGGAAAAAACGAAGCAUUUGGACUGCAGGUUGCACAGCUCAGAUACAAUAGUUCACAAAGCUCUGAAAUAGAAUAAAACUUUCUGGAAGAAACUUGAUGAAACACCCUUUUGUGUAGCUAACUUGUGCUGCCUCUCUUUAUGUAAAGAAUAAAGAACUGGGUGGGAGCCCUUUAGGGCUGAACUAUUCAAGAGCCACUGCCUGUGAAUUUUGUUAGGAUGUUUUGCAUUAACAUCACUCUGAGGCAGAAUAAUGGAACUGGAGCAGUGGAGAGAAGAAAAGAGUUGCUUCGGGGAGCACUGAUAAAGUCUGAAUAUACAGAGAAGUUAGCAGGGAUUAAUGCUAAAGAAAAAAAUUCUGUGGAAGUGCAAAAGGUUGCUGGUUACCACCUUGGAAGAGAAGGCAUCAGAGGAAGAAAGCAGGAGAUGACUUGCAGGGCUGAAGGAAAUUUUGUUGAGUCUCUGGGAUAAACUGAGCCCAAGAUGUGCCAGAUGUGAAGAGCAGGCUGUGAAAUGAGGCAUUGGUGUGGCAGGCACUGUUUUUACCAGAUGUGGACCAACUUCAGAGCAGAAGGAACAAUACUUAUAGAGAUAGUUAGAAACAGUUGGUCUAUUCAACUCCUCUUCAGGGAGUGUUCAGUAUCCACUAUGCACAGCUUGGACAUAAAGACUGUUUUUACAGAGGGGAAACCUGGCCAAAUGGUGUGCUGAAUGGUGUGCUGCAGCAGGGUUCCUAAGAACGAAGACAGUGUAGACAUCUCCGUGGCAGUCGGAAAAUCUUCUGUUACCAUCACUUUUUCACUUAGUCCAACUAACAGCAGUCAGUUUAGCAGAACAGAGGUUUCCAGCCCUGCAAAUGUUUGCUGGAGAUGUCAUUGAGAUGAGGCAAUGUAUCUCCACGAGUUCAUUCUUUGCUCCAUUCUUGGAGUUCGCACCAGCCAACUCUGUGUUUUAGACCAAACAAAAAAACCUCCAUUAAAAUUGCAAGGUCAGACAUAAGCUAUGAAAUGCCAGAAUUAAUUUUGCUGGUAUAUCCCUACUUUGUCUGCAUUGUGCUUAUGCAUUAUAAUGCCAUAAUUUACAUAAUCGCAAACUGCUUCUGGGAAAUGAAGUGGUUUUGCAGCGCUGGCUGUGGGCCCUGGCCUUGUUUGCUGUGGAAGGUGUACUGUGGACAAGGCAGGGGAAUUUGGGAUGGUGGUUCUGGAGUUGCACACAGUCUUCAUUCUUGUGUUGUCGAACACUUCAGACUUAAGAGCUUGACUUUGCAAGCUCACUAUUCUUUUCAACAGAUUUUAUGUGUAAUGUAGAACAUGUUCCAACACAGUCUGAGGUUUAUUUAUUGCUUUUCUUGUUAGAAGAAGGAAAAAAACUGGUCCAAGUGGGAAUUUUCUCCUAUAAAACCGAAAAAUCAGCAAAAAUGUCUUAAGAUCUCGGCUUGGUUGAAAUCUUGUUGAGAUUUAAAUUAACUGAACUUCUGAAAGGAGCUUCAAAUAAAAUUGGGUUGUUGUUUGAUAGAACUGCCUGUGCUUCAUCUGUUCUGCAAUUCCAUCAGCACCAAUCCUAAGACAAAUUUGUUCAAGUCCAAAGUGUCCCAGAACAUGAGCACCACCUAGAUUUAGUGCAUUUUAACCAAAUCUAUCAAAGUCACUAUGGAACUAGAGCCUUUCCUUGGCUGGAGCAGCCUGAUCCCAUGGGAGGAUACAGCGUGAGAGUUCUCAGCAGCAGAACAGAGUCCACCAGAAGUUCUACUUCUCCAAAUAUAACCUGAGCUAUCCUUAGGUCCUGCAGACUCUUAGCCAUGUAGCUCAGUUGACGCAUCAUUAUAGAAAGGCUGCUUAUGAGAAAAAUGAUGUACUCUCAGGUCAUAUGGCAAUGGGGCUUUAACUCUUAUCUGUAAUGAUAACGAUAAGCUAGACAUAUCUUUCCUGUAGGAGGUAGGUAAUAUUCAUGGAUCAUUUUGCAGUCAAUAAAACAAUAUGCUUUUGAUAAUUGCUUUAAGUUGCCAGUAACUUGUUAGUCAAAUUUCUUUUGGAUUCUUUUUCAUUUUAGAGUGCCCAAAAGCAGUCAACACAUAUUAUUAUGGAGUGUUCAAAAAAAUAUAUGUAGCCAUAUGAACAUGCAUAUGUAGAAGUAGAAUUAAUUAGAAAAAUAUUAUUUGGCUUCUU